rnacentral:rRNA from 1 species
CUGGAAACGGUGGCUAAUACCGCAUAACGUCGCAAGACCAAAGAGGGGGACCUUCGGGCCUCUUGCCAUCAGAUGUGCCCAGAUGGGAUUAGCUUGUUGGUGAGGUAACGGCUCACCAAGGCGACGAUCCCUAGCUGGUCUGAGAGGAUGACCAGCCACACUGGAACUGAGACACGGUCCAGACUCCUACGGGAGGCAGCAGUGGGGAAUAUUGCACAAUGGGCGCAAGCCUGAUGCAGCCAUGCCGCGUGUAUGAAGAAGGCCUUCGGGUUGUAAAGUACUUUCAGCGGGGAGGAAGGUGUUGUGGUUAAUAACCGCAGCAAUUGACGUUACCCGCAGAAGAAGCACCGGCUAACUCCGUGCCAGCAGCCGCGGUAAUACGGAGGGUGCAAGCGUUAAUCGGAAUUACUGGGCGUAAAGCGCACGCAGGCGGUCUGUCAAGUCGGAUGUGAAAUCCCCGGGCUCAACCUGGGAACUGCAUUCGAAACUGGCAGGCUUGAGUCUUGUAGAGGGGGGUAGAAUUCCAGGUGUAGCGGUGAAAUGCGUAGAGAUCUGGAGGAAUACCGGUGGCGAAGGCGGCCCCCUGGACAAAGACUGACGCUCAGGUGCGAAAGCGUGGGGAGCAAACAGGAUUAGAUACCCUGGUAGUCCACGCCGUAAACGAUGUCUACUUGGAGGUUGUGCCCUUGAGGCGUGGCUUCCGGAGCUAACGCGUUAAGUAGACCGCCUGGGGAGUACGGCCGCAAGGUUAAAACUCAAAUGAAUUGACGGGGGCCCGCACAAGCGGUGGAGCAUGUGGUUUAAUUCGAUGCAACGCGAAGAACCUUACCUGGUCUUGACAUCCACGGAAGAAUUCAGAGAUGGAUUUGUGCCUUCGGGAACCGUGAGACAGGUGCUGCAUGGCUGUCGUCAGCUCGUGUUGUGAAAUGUUGGGUUAAGUCCCGCAACGAGCGCAACCCUUAUCCUUUGUUGCCAGCGGUCCGGCCGGGAACUCAAAGGAGACUGCCAGUGAUAAACUGGAGGAAGGUGGGGAUGACGUCAAGUCAUCAUGGCCCUUACGACCAGGGCUACACACGUGCUACAAUGGCGCAUACAAAGAGAAGCGACCUCGCGAGAGCAAGCGGACCUCAUAAAGUGCGUCGUAGUCCGGAUUGGAGUCUGCAACUCGACUCCAUGAAGUCGGAAUCGCUAGUAAUCGUGGAUCAGAAUGCCACGGUGAAUACGUUCCCGGGCCUUGUACACACCGCCCGUCACACCAUGGGAGUGGGUUGCAAAAGAAGUAGGUAGCUUAACCUUCGGGAGGGCGCUUACCACUUUGUGAUUCAUGACUGGGGUGAAGUCGUAACAAGGUAACCGUAGGGGAACCUGCGGUUGGAUCACCUCCUUA